rnacentral:rRNA from 1 species
GAUGAACGCUGGCGGCGUGCCUAAUACAUGCAAGUCGAGCGAACGGACGAGAAGCUUGCUUCUCUGAUGUUAGCGGCGGGCGGGUGAGUAACACGUGGAUAACCUACCUAUAAGACUGGGAUAACUUCGGGAAACCGUAGCUAAUACCGGAUAAUAUUUUGAACCGCAUGGUUCAAAAGUGAAAGACGGUCUUGCUGUCACUUAUAGAUGGAUCCGCGCUGCAUUAGCUAGUUGGUAAGGUAACGGCUUACCAAGGCAACGAUGCAUAGCCGACCUGAGAGGGUGAUCGGCCACACUGGAACUGAGACACGGUCCAGACUCCUACGGGAGGCAGCAGUAGGGAAUCUUCCGCAAUGGGCGAAAGCCUGACGGAGCAACGCCGCGUGAGUGAUGAAGGUCUUCGGAUCGUAAAACUCUGUUAUUAGGGAAGAACAUAUGUGUAAGUAACUGUGCACAUCUUGACGGUACCUAAUCAGUAAGCCACGGCUAACUACGUGCCAGCAGCCGCGGUAAUACGUAGGUGGCAAGCGUUAUCCGGAAUUAUUGGGCGUAAAGCGCGCGUAGGCGGUUUUUUAAGUCUGAUGUGAAAGCCCACGGCUCAACCGUGGAGGGUCAUUGGAAACUGGAAAACUUGAGUGCAGAAGAGGAAAGUGGAAUUCCAUGUGUAGCGGUGAAAUGCGCAGAGAUAUGGAGGAACACCAGUGGCGAAGGCGACUUUCUGGUCUGUAACUGACGCUGAUGUGCGAAAGCGUGGGGAUCAAACAGGAUUAGAUACCCUGGUAGUCCACGCCGUAAACGAUGAGUGCUAAGUGUUAGGGGGUUUCCGCCCCUUAGUGCUGCAGCUAACGCAUUAAGCACUCCGCCUGGGGAGUACGACCGCAAGGUUGAAACUCAAAGGAAUUGACGGGGACCCGCACAAGCGGUGGAGCAUGUGGUUUAAUUCGAAGCAACGCGAAGAACCUUACCAAAUCUUGACAUCCUUUGACAACUCUAGAGAUAGAGCCUUCCCCUUCGGGGGACAAAGUGACAGGUGGUGCAUGGUUGUCGUCAGCUCGUGUCGUGAGAUGUUGGGUUAAGUCCCGCAACGAGCGCAACCCUUAAGCUUAGUUGCCAUCAUUAAGUUGGGCACUCUAAGUUGACUGCCGGUGACAAACCGGAGGAAGGUGGGGAUGACGUCAAAUCAUCAUGCCCCUUAUGAUUUGGGCUACACACGUGCUACAAUGGACAAUACAAAGGGCAGCGAAACCGCGAGGUCAAGCAAAUCCCAUAAAGUUGUUCUCAGUUCGGAUUGUAGUCUGCAACUCGACUACAUGAAGCUGGAAUCGCUAGUAAUCGUAGAUCAGCAUGCUACGGUGAAUACGUUCCCGGGUCU